rnacentral:rRNA from 1 species
AUUGAACGCUGGCGGCAGGCUUAACACAUGCAAGUCGAGCGGAGAUGAGGUGCUUGCACCUUAUCUUAGCGGCGGACGGGUGAGUAAUGCUUAGGAAUCUGCCUAUUAGUGGGGGACAACAUUCCGAAAGGAAUGCUAAUACCGCAUACGUCCUACGGGAGAAAGCAGGGGACCUUCGGGCCUUGCGCUAUCAGAGGAGCCUAGGUCGGAUUAGCUAGUUGGUGAGGUAGUGGCUCACAAAGGCGACGAUCUCUAGCUGGUUUGAGAGGAUGAUCAGCCACACUGGAACUGAGACACGGUCCAGACUCCUACGGGAGGCAGCAGUGGGGAAUAUUGGACAAUGGGCGCAAGCCUGAUCCAGCCAUGCCGCGUGUGUGAAGAAGGCCUUCGGGUUGUAAAGCACUUUCAGCGAGGAGGAAGGGUGGUGUGUUAAUAGCACAUCAUUUUGACGUUACUCGCAGAAGAAGCACCGGCUAACUCUGUGCCAGCCGCCGCGGUAACAC